GACGAACGCUGGCGGCGUGCUUAACACAUGCAAGUCGAACGAAGUGGCGAACGGGUGAGUAACGCGAAAUCAACCUGCCCUUCAGAGGGGGACAACAGUUGGAAACGAAUGCUAAUACCGCAUACUGAAGGAGGGGAUUGCGUCGGAUUAGCUAGUUGGCGGGGUAACGGCCCACCCAGGCGAUGAUCAGUAGCAGGUCGGGUAGGAUGACCGGCCACAUUUGGACUGAGACACGGCCCAGACUCCUACGGGAGGCAGCAUGGGGGAAUCUUCCGCAAUUGACGAAAGUCUGACGGAGCAACGCCGCGUGAGUGAUGACGGCCUUCGGGUUGUAAAGCUCUGUUAAUCGGGACGCGGUACCGGAAUAGAAAGCCACGGCUAACUACGUGCCAGCCGCCGCGGUAAUUC
rnacentral:rRNA from 1 species